CCUGAACACGUCUCAGACUGGUGACGGAGUUCUCCAAGAAGACCGGAGACUACCCGAGUCUGUCAGCCACCGACAUCAAAGUCCUGGCUCUGACCUACCAGCUGGAGCUGGAGCACGUCGGCUCCCAGCACCUGAAGAAAGAGCCAGAAGUCAAGGUAAAAGUCCAGAGCACGAAGCGCCACCCAGAGACUCCGCUUAACGUCGCAGGAUUUCACUUCCCCUCCAAGAAGCCCGUGGACAGUUUGAACGUCCGACAGACUCCAACAAAGACGGAGACGUCGUCAGACCCUGCAGCCAGUGACGAGUUUAACAGCUUCCACUUCUGGAGAGAGCCGCUGCCCUCCAUCGACAGCGACUUGCUGGAGUUACUGGUGAGUCAACCAACUGGAAG